AGGUGGCGAGCGUUGUCCGGAAUUACUGGGUGUAAAGGGAGUGUAGGCGGGAAAGCAAGUCAGAAGUGAAAACUAUGGGCUUAACCCAUAGCCUGCUUUUGAAACUGUUUUUCUUGAGUGAAGUAGAGGCAAGCGGAAUUCCUAGUGUAGCGGUGAAAUGCGUAGAUAUUAGGAGGAACACCAGUGGCGAAGGCGGCUUGCUGGGCUUUUACUGACGCUGAGGCUCGAAAGCGUGGGGAGCAAACAGGAUUAGAUACCCUGGUAGUCCACGCCGUAAACGAUGAUCACUAGGUGUGGGGAGCGAACCUUUCCGUGCCGGAGUAAACACAAUAAGUGAUCCACCUGGGGAGUACGGCCGCAAGGCUG
rnacentral:rRNA from 2 species